GACGAACGCUGGCGGCGUGCCUAAAACAUGCAAGUCGAACGGGGGAGCAAUCCCCAGUGGCGAACGGCGGAGUAAUACAUGAACAACGUGCCCUGAAGACCGGGAUAGUCAGUGGAAACGCUGGGUAAUACCGGAUGUGGCCGUCUUGUGGCAUCACGAGACGAUUAAAUGGUUUUUUCGCUUCAGGAGCGGUUCAUGGCCUAUCAGGUAGUUGGUGAGGUAACGGCUCACCAAGCCGACGACGGGUAGCGGGUCUGAGAGGACGAUCCGCUCGAGUGGGACUGAGACACGGCCCACACACCUACGGGUGGCAGCAGUUGGGAAUCUUGCACAAUGGGGGAAACCCUGAUGCAGCGACGCCGCGUGGAGGACGAAGGAUCUAGGUCUGUAAACUCCUUUUUCACGGAAAGACUUAGGACGGUACCGUGAGAAUAAGCUCCGGCUAACUACGUGCCAGCAGCCGCCGCUGUAAC
rnacentral:rRNA from 1 species